UACGUAGGUGGCAAGCGUUGUCCGGAUUUACUGGGCGUAAAGAGCGCGCAGGCGGUCGUUCAAGUCGCGUGUGAAAUCCCUCGGCUCAACUGAGGAACUGCCUUUGAAACUGCCUGGCUUGAGGCCGGGAGGGGGUAGCGGAAUUCCCAGUGUAGCGGUGAAAUGCGUAGAUAUUGGGAGGAACACCAGUGGCGAAGGCGGCUACCUGGACCGGUUCUGACGCUGAUGCGCGAAAGCGUGGGUAGCAAACAGG
rnacentral:rRNA from 1 species